rnacentral:lncRNA from 1 species
CAGAGUUCUGGCCAGGGCUGCGGGAAGGAAAGGGGGCGGCGUCCUUCACAGGGAGGGUGCAGCUGACCUCCCUCCGCUUGUGCAGAUUGGAAAAGAAUGGCCCAGAUCCUCUGGGCUCCUCAAAUGAGCGGAUUCAGAGAGAAGCUUUUGAGAGAGUGCUGGCAAAGAUAUUUUUCACAAAAGAACUCUUGAGGUGCUCGUGUCCAUGGCGUGCCUGGGGGGAAAAUGAGCUUAUAUAUGAAGAAGUCAGUGAGUGGACAAAGCCAGGCGCAAUGGAUAGCAAUUCAAGUUAGAAGAAAACUGCAGCACGGAGUCUGCUCUCAGCUGUUUGGGAAUUACUGAUGCCUUUGACUAAGUCAAGACUGACUUUUCCAGAAUAUCACCAAGACAUAGAGCCGUCCCUGUCCAAGUUUGUGCGCUAGCCCUUCAUGGAGGUCAGAGAGGAAGGCACAAAGGCAGCUGUGGCCUUGGCGGUCACAGUGUCAGAAUGUGCAAGCCCCAUAGAGAGGUUUCACGCAGGCCACCCAUCCCUUUUCAUUCUCCAGCAGAACAGGACAGAGAGCAUUCUGUUCUGCAGAAGGUUUUCCAUUCUACAAGGCAAUCCCUCCAGCUGCUUUGCUGUAUUGUGCUGUCUCCUGUCACACUAUGAAUGCAGGGACCUCAGCCAGCAGCAGGGAGAACCCCCCUGCCCCCCGAACAAAGGACCUCAUGUGAAAUCCUGAGCUCAGAGCUUACAGAUAUGUGUGCACUUUCACUUUACAUAGGCUGUGACUUUCAAACAACUUCAGGAAACUUUAGGAUCUCUGAGGUAUACUGGAGAUUAUAGCAGCGUAGAAUGUUCAUUUGGAUUUAGAACAAAAAUGCUUAUUUUAUAUUUGGCUGCUCCCAAACUGUCCCCAAACUUCCUCUCCAGCGGUUACCCCUCCACUGCCCUGGAUGUCCCACAUUUACACUCA